AGUGAACGCUGGCGGUAGGCCUAACACAUGCAAGUCGAACGGUAGCACAGAGGAGCUUGCUCCUUGGGUGGCGAGUGGCGGACGGGUGAGGAAUACAUCGGAAUCUACUCUGUCGUGGGGGAUAACGUAGGGAAACUUACGCUAAUACCGCAUACGACCUACGGGUGAAAGCAGGGGAUCUUCGGACCUUGCGCGAUUGAAUGAGCCGAUGUCGGAUUAGCUAGUUGGCGGGGUAAAGGCCCACCAAGGCGACGAUCCGUAGCUGGUCUGAGAGGAUGAUCAGCCACACUGGAACUGAGACACGGUCCAGACUCCUACGGGAGGCAGCAGUGGGGAAUAUUGGACAAUGGGCGCAAGCCUGAUCCAGCCAUACCGCGUGGGUGAAGAAGGCCUUCGGGUUGUAAAGCCCUUUUGUUGGGAAAGAAAUCCAUCUGGUUAAUACCUGGGUGGGAUGACGGUACCCAAAGAAUAAGCACCGGCUAACUUCGUGCCAGCAGCCGCAGUAA
rnacentral:rRNA from 1 species